CCUACGGGGGGCAGCAGUGAGGAAUAUUGGUCAAUGGACGAGAGUCUGAACCAGCCAAGUAGCGUGAAGGAUGACUGCCCUAUGGGUUGUAAACUUCUUUUAUAUGGGAAUAAAAUGUUCCACGUGUGGGAUUUUGUAUGUACCAUAUGAAUAAGGAUCGGCUAACUCCGUGCCAGCAGCCGCGGUAAUACGGAGGAUCCGAGCGUUAUCCGGAUUUAUUGGGUGUAAAGGGAGCGUAGGUGGAUUGUUAAGUCAGUUGUGAAAGUUUGGGGCUCAACCGUAAAAUUGCAGUUGAUACUGGCAGUCUAGAGUACAGUAGAGGUGGGCGGAAUUCGUGGUGUAGCGGUGAAAUGCUUAGAUAUGACGAAGAACUCCGAUUGCGAAGGCAGCUCACUGGACUGCAACUGACGCUGAGGCGCGAAAGUGUGGGUAUCAAACAGGAUUAGAUACCCUAGUAGUC
rnacentral:rRNA from 1 species